rnacentral:rRNA from 1 species
UGGGGAAUUUUGGACAAUGGGCGAAAGCCUGAUCCAGCAAUGCCGCGUGUGUGAAGAAGGCCUUCGGGUUGUAAAGCACUUUUGUCCGGAAAGAAAUCCUCUGGGUUAAUACCUCGGGGGGAUGACGGUACCGGAAGAAUAAGCCCCGGCUAACUACGUGCCAGCAGCCGCGGUAAUACGUAGGGUGCAAGCGUUAAUCGGAAUUACUGGGCGUAAAGCGUGCGCAGGCGGUUUUGUAAGACGGAUGUGAAAUCCCCGGGCUUAACCUGGGAACUGCAUUCGUGACUGCAGGGCUAGAGUAUGGCAGAGGGGGGUAGAAUUCCACGUUUAGCAGUGAAAUGCGUAGAGAGGGGGAGGAAUACCGAUGGCGAAGGCAGCCCCCUGGGCCAAUACUGACGC